CCACCCCAGUCGCGUUUGAGCGUUCGCUCGAUCAAGCAGCACACACUCCUCUUUCGCGCUGGCCAUGGACGCGUGCGGCACAGGUGCCCUGGCAGCAAUGUGCCCCCGUAAUCAGUGUCUCUUUUUCCGAUGCGGAAGUGUUGACCGACCCCGCCCACGGUGUUGUGGGCCCCACGCCCACACAAUCGGUACGUUCCGACGUGCUCGAUCGUCCGGUGCCCGCCCAAGGAUCCUCCAAAAUCCCCGGAAAAGUGCCUGAAAAGCGAGUGCAAAAACGGUGGAAAAAAUUUCUGCUGACGGGGGCUGGAUGAAAAAACCAAGAUGGCGACCCACUCACUCUGGUGGUGGCGUUGAGUGACCAAUCCUGCACGCGUGUUGAGUGUUUCACCGGCUGUUGCUCAAGGGAAUGAAAGGAGAGUUAAUUAUGACUGAACGCUGCAUUCAACAGCCGUUUUCCAGACUCCGAGCCACUCGUUGGUUGAUUGCUCAGCAAUAUUUGCUGUUGUGAUAUUUGAAUCAGGCACCCGAGUGAGCACGUAUGUAUGUGGCCGGUAUUUGUUAUCAUUCACAUUCAUCAGUAGUGCUUCAAACAGCAUACAACGCAAUUCAGUUAGUUUUGGACCGGCAGCAUGGAUCCCGUUUGGAUUUUAUUUGGAAUAUUCGGAUCCAUUGUAAUAUGGGCUGUUUGGAGCUGUUUCGACACCACUGUGCGGAAAAACGAGUGUAAAUGCUGUGGCCACAGGGGCCACAAGGCGGAGCAAUGCUUUCACCGGAAUCGAAUCUGUGAAAUUUGCCACGAGGGUGGCCACAUCGCAUCGGUUUGCACCAAAAUAUUCGAAGCGGAAAAUUCCCAGUUCAAACCUUCCGUCGUCCUGUGGGCGCUGACGUGGAUUGAUUACUUCUGCACAAGUUCGGACAACCGAACUUCGCGGUGCAAAUCUUGCGGGGAAAGGGCCCACGGAACGUGCCAGUACGCCGUCAGGAGGUGCUUCCGGUGUCGCGUCAAGGGUCACAAGUCGUCGGCCUGUCCUGGGAAGAAGCUGUAUCGGAAGAUCGUUUCGGUGGUGAAGACUGGAGCAAUUGUUGCGGCUGUGGUGUUGUUUUUGUAUUUACAGAAAUAGAAGCGAAUCCAUUGUACUGAACAUUCCAGCUAAAAAGAUGUUUGAAAUUUCUAUAGAAUAAGUGAGGUAUUUACUGUUUGAUGCUAAAAAAACAAUGCUGUGAUGUGAUGUGAUCAAAUGAAACAAAUAAAAACAAAAAAUCAGA